rnacentral:rRNA from 1 species
CCUACGGGUGGCUGCAGUGAGGAAUAUUGGUCAAUGAACGAGAGUCUGAACCAGCCAAGUAGCGUGAAGGAUGACUGCCCUAUGGGUUGUAAACUUCUUUUAUAUGGGAAUAAAACGUUCCACGUGUGGGAUUUUGUAUGUACCAUAUGAAUAAGGAUCGGCUAAAUCCGUGCCAGCAGCCGCGGUAAUACGGAGGAUCCGAGCGUUAUCCGGAUUUAUUGGGUUUAAAGGGAGCGUAGGUGGAUUGUUAAGUCAGUUGUGAAAGUUUGCGGCUCAACCGUAAAAUUGCAGUUGAAACUGGCAGUCUUGAGUACAGUAGAGGUGGGCGGAAUUCGUGGUGUAGCGGUGAAAUGCUUAGAUAUCACGAAGAACUCCGAUUGCGAAGGCAGUUCACUGGACUGCAACUGACACUGAGGCUCGAAAGUGUGGGUAUCAAACAGGAUUAGAUAACCCAGUAGUC